UGACGGCUGGCUCACUCUUCAUGGGCCUAGUCACCCAGACCUCACGUUGUGACUUCACAGAGCUUCUGGUGUGGUCAGAAGGACAUGCCACCCCCUGGCACGCUACGUGUCUCUGGACCUUGGAACCUUGAGGACCUCGGUCCUACUGUCAUGUACAGAUGAGGAAACUCAGUCCGGUGCUUCCAGCGUCCCCACUGGAACAUCAGUCUGUUUGACAGAACUGUGGUCAUCAGGAGAAGGCCCAGGGAUGCUGAUGUCUGUUGGAUCUUCUAUCCGGAUUCUGAGGAAUGACUUAGAUGUCUUGGGGCCCUGCUGUGACCAGAGGUGUGGGCCAUGGGCUGGGCCCCUCUCCCAGGGCUCUGGCCUAGGGGUAGAAGUCAAGGGUAAUGGCAAGGACCUCCCUGCCUGCUCCUGCCAGGUUCUCUGGCCCUGUGCUUGCUUUCCCUCUUCUGCUGCCCCCGUUCUCUGGCUCGGAGGUGGAGUGGGGGUGCGGGGGCCACUCUGCAGAGCCUCAGCUCUGUGAGGAUGGCCCCCACCGUGCUGCCUGCUCGUUGCCAUUCUAUCAGCGGGGCAAAGCCCUUGAAUGGAGGAAGGGCUGACUGAUUGAAGGAAAGUACUCCUCUUGUAAGCUUGUGAUGCUGUCUUGCGCAGUUAACAGCUGUGCUCUCUGCUAAACCACAAGCUUCAUGAGGGCAGGGAUUGAGGCUGGAGGCCCAGAGCCUAUCCCUGCACAGAGAGGAGUUCCAUGAGCCAAACACAAGGCCGCCAUCUUACUGUGUCCAUUGGGCUCUGCUGAGUUCUGGGUCUGGCACAGGAAGGUCCUGUGACCAUUCUGGUGGUGGGGUCCUGGUGGUCCCUGAGAGGCCUGGACACUUCAGGUACUGAGCACCACUCACAGAUCCCCACAGGCUCUGUCACUCCUGCCGCUGUGUUUCUACUCUCCGUUCCCCAUGCCUGGAGUUCCCUCCUCUGCUGGCCCUCUCAAAGUCCUCUUGGUUCUUAAGGCCACUCUCUCCAGGAAGCCUGGCUUGGAGAAGGCCCCCAUCCUCUGCAUGCCCCAGGUCUCCCCUAUGCUGACCUCAUAGGAUCUGUGGUCCUCAUAAUAGUGACUGUGAGAAGUGGAGGCCACCAUGCUUUAUGCAGGCUGAAGGGCGGCAAUGGGCCCAUGCCUCUGGACCUUGUGAGAAGUUCCAAAGCUGUGAGGGGAGAUGCCUGGCGCUGUUAUGGGGCUGUCACCAACUCGGGCAAGAGAACACAUCUGGGUCUUUACCUACAAGGAGGGACCUCGCUCACCUCCAUGCGUGUGGGCUGCGGGCAUGAACAGACCUGGCCUCUUCCUCCAUAAUCUUUGCUUCUUAGCUUCAGGGCUCAGGUGUCAGCCUUUGGGGAUUGGAGCUGCCUGGCUCAUGGUUCAGGGUCUGGGUCAUGCACCCCAGCUGGAUGUGUGGGGUCUGCAGUGACUCAGCUCUUGGAGUGUCGUAUUCCUCAAUUAUAAAAUAGACACCUUCUCCGGU